GAAUGUUUUCAUUGAUUUGGAUAGUGGG
rnacentral:piRNA from 1 species